rnacentral:lncRNA from 1 species
AACUUUCCAAGGUAUUGUUCUAUUCUAGCAUACAAAACUUUGAAUAACACAAGUUAGAAUAACAUACCUUUUGUUGGUGCUUGUCUUCAUGAAGCUUGAGUGCCUAGUGCCCCAAGUGUGACACCUCAAAUGGUUCACACAACACCAUAAGCACUUGGAAUAACUUAGAGAGAAAUUUGAAGACUUCAAGAAUCGGCUUGCCCUCCAUGCAUAUCUAGUGACCGAUUUCUCACAUCAAUACGAUGCUUAUAUAGUUGUUACAAUUAGGGUAAACCCUAAUUGUCAUGGCUUUCCAUUUCCUUGGAUCCAUGGGUUCAAAUACACCAUGGAGCAUCCUAUGGGUUUUAGCCCAACUUGAUAAUCCAUGGAGCAUUAGCCCACUAUAUAAGUAUGGAUGAUUUACACAAUCAACCCAUAUAUUUAAUUAGUCUUCUUUUGAUCACAUAAUUAAUUCUAAAUCAAUUAUUGAUCAAUACUAAUUAAAUAAUCUUAUUAAUAUAUUAGAACUUAUAAUAUAUUAAUAAACCUUAAGUGUUAUUUCUCUCAUUUUAGUCUAUCCAAGUGCAUGAUGCCAUGCAACCCAAAUGGACCAUGCCGGGUCGGGUCAAGUCUUACCAAUUAUAGUUAUGGACUUAGACAUUAAUCCAACAGUCUCCCACUUGGAUAAGUCUAAAACUAUUAUUGCAAGUAUGACUUCAGAACCCGACUAGCAAUCGUAGCUCUCAAAAGCUUCUGUCGAUCUCUGACCUUGUCGAUGAACUCUGACCUCUGUCAAUGACUUGUCCAUUAGAUAAGUGAUCAUAUAUUCCUCCAUUCUAGAUAUCAUAUGGACUGAGACAUGGAUUAUAAUCAUUCUCUCUGUCCAUUUGUUGUUUCCCGAUUUCUGAUUUAUGACGACUGACUAAUUGAACAAAUCAAAUCAGUCCAGGCCCGGCCGAGCACUUACUUUUGUCAUCACUAAAUCAUCGAGGGGCCCACAGAUAUCGCUUUUAUCCCGAAGGUAAAAGGAAUGGAUAAACUUCGACUCAUAUGGCUUGUUCUACUACUUGUUGAAUCAUACACAAAGGCACGUUUUAUAGCAUCGAGUUACCAAUGCGUUUUCGUACAAUCAAUGUAUAACCAACUCAUAGGCAACAACUCAUAUCUCUAGGUUUGAAGAAUAUAAGAUAUUAUCGUCUCAUGAUUCACUCGUGAUAAAAUCCAUGAAGUGAAUCCAAAUGAGCGUGGGUUGAAUCCAAUACUCAGCCCUUAUGAGUACUCAUGAAUGUUGUAGCAACUAUUGCAUUGUCUAAAGCACUUUAGACAAAUCAUACAAGCCAAAUUCACGACAGUCUUGAUUCAUAUCUACUUCCAACAUAUGACCGACUGUGGAUGGUUUGAAUAACUUGGUCAUUCGGGAGAAUGACCUAGUUAUUCUGGAAGUCAAAACAUGCAAAGUGAAACACAAAAUAAUACUAGUCCUAUAUGGCCUCAACACUUUGAGCGUAAAUAAAACACCUUUUAUCUAAGCACCAUAUUGAUCACUCAUUAUUCAUGUUUCGAUUAAUCAACUUAAUACUUGAAUUGAAACAGUAGUGAUGCCAUGCUCCAAGCAUGCAUACUAUGUUUCUCUAAACAAUAGCUAUGCCAUACUCCAAGUAUGCACACUAUGUUUACAUAUGGUCAUCUCUUUGUGAAAUGUAUAUCAAUUGAACAUGACUUCAAUGAUUCUCAUUUCACAAUCCCAAUCCUUAUUGUAAAUGUAAGAAUACCAAGUUCUUGUCAUUUACCGUAAUCUAUGCAAUGAUCCUCUUGUAAUGAUAUUCACACAAGUCACAAAGACUUGGCAACAAACAUUACAAAGUAUUCCAAUGGAAAGCAAUUCCAUGGAGAUGAAGUCUCAAAUUCAAAGUACAUUCCUUUGAACAUCCUUCUUUGCAUUAAGUUCUUUAAUCUUACACAGAUUCAAAGAAUAACUUCCACCUAUGGAAACAAUUCCAUAUUCCCAUCUUGACCAUCACUUUUGAACAAGAGUUGCCUCUUUCCAAAAUAUGUCAAUACGAUCCUUACUCUAUACUUCCAAUUGUCCAUGAGUAACCAAACUUUUGAAAACCUAAAAUUGUUCUCGACAAUUGCUUAAUCAUCUUAGUCAUAUCCAGUUCUAUUCCCUUUCCCCUUCUUAACGCCCUAAGCAUUAGGAAAAUUUAGAAUGGAUGAAUAUUAUAACACAUGCAAUCGAUCCUAUAUCCGAAGCAUAUGGGAUACGAUUCAUGCUAUAAAAUUUUUAUUUGCCAUGUUCUCAUAAUUCGAACUAUGAAGAGGGAUGCCGUAAUCAUAAUCGAAUUUUGAGAAAGCAACAUAUAUAGAAAUUCCUUAUGUUGAACCAUUCCAACAUAACAUUCAUAUAUAUUCUUGACUAAAGUUGAUUAAAAUCUCAAUCUAAGCUUGUAGAAUUGGAAUGAAGUAUAAAUUUCUCUCCCUUAAUUAUAGUAAAACAACUUUUUCAAAGCGAGUUGAAACUUUUGUUUUCUAUAAUUAACAUUGCUAACUUGCAACAUAAUCAUCAUGCUCCCACUAGCAUAAUGAUUAUUAUCUAACUAGCAUAACACUUUAUGCUCCCACUAGCUUUGACAUGUACCUAGAAAUCAGUCAGAUUUCUGAUACUAGAUUGCCUUGAUAAGACUUUAUCAAAUCAUACACCUGGAGUCUAAACCUUUCCUUAGAUAGCUCACAUGUGGGUCUAAACCUUUGCCAUUCUAAUUAGUUAGUGUGCCGGUUAACCACACACGCUCCACUAACGACAUGAGAAUGCAAACUUCACACUUGCUAUCCACUUAAAUCUACUUAGUGAAAGAGUUUCCUCACUAUCAUUUUCAUGAAUCGGAGAGAAACCUUAUGACACUUAGAUUUUGAUGGUGUAUGUGUUCCUAUCCAUGUGAAUUUGACAUAACCAUAAUCACACGACAAGGUUAAUGACAAAUCCAAAUUCAUAUGGACUGAACUUGUGCAGUCUUAAUUUCUUGCCACCUGGUAGCACAAGGGCCUGCCAUUGCUUCCAAGUUGUUAUGCAACCAGUUGAGAACUCUCAGAACUCCAAUGCAAAACCAACUUUAACUGGAAUGGGCACAGAAUAUGUCAACACGAUAGGUUACAAACCUCAAGUCGUGGUCUAGUGAUUAACAAAACUCUUGAUUAGUUCUUGAAUCUAUCUUAAGAUCCUUUUAAGACUCCCACUGACCUCUUGACAUAUAAGAUUCUCUUUGUCAAGAACCAUUCCUUGACAAAAACGAAUAUUCAAGAGUUAGUGCAGAUUCUUAUCAAGUUAAACACUUCUCACAAUUGGUCUUAGUUGGUCUUUGUUUUAUCCAAAACAUCACAACUUACCAAUUUCAAAUGUACAAGAGUAAGAACACAUUUUACUCUACAUUUAACAAGUGUUUUAAACCUUUCUUAAGAUUAUGUCACUCAAGGCUUAAUCUUGGAGUAUGACUCUAAGAUUUAAUUUUGGAACGAAGUAUAAUUUAUCUUUUGAUCUAACCAUUUCAACAAUUCACGAUUCCUCUCCUUAGCCAAACAAAAUGAACUAAGGUGUCCUUAGAGGAUCAAUUGUGACAUGGUUUCAUAAUCACUAAGAUAAUCAUAAAACAAGAUACUCAAGUACUCUCCCAUCUCUUCAGAUUAGAGAAACUUUUAUCUUUCUGCCUUAUUUGAUUCUUCUUACUCAUUAUGUCUAUCAUUGAAACUUCUCCAAUGAUCCAGAACUAUACUUAAACUUGUAAGUAUAACCAUAUUUACUAAACUUUAGUAAAUCAUAAUGAAUAAUCUUAUCAACUUUGUGGUGGACCUGAUCAGCGCACACCCAAGUGUAUCCGAUCCCUUUGUCCUUCACUUGAUUCACAUAUACAUGUGAACAAGGAAUUAGACUUAAUUUCCCAAAUAUAUAAAAAAAUUCUCAUGAUCAUACAAUACAAGUUGCAUGAUUCCAAGUUUCUAUCCAACUGAAACUUGGGUGAUGAGAAUCUUUCCUUAUUUGGUAAAUUAUGACACUUCCACUAAUGAAAGAAUCAAAUCCAUUUACCCAUAUUGCUUAUCAAUGGAAACAUAUAAUCAACAAUUUUUCACAAAUGCCAUUGUAAGGAUACUUAAAAUAAAUAAAAUCAAAACCAUUUUUCUUUUAUUUUAAAACUUUGCGGAAAAAUUUAUCCUUACAAUCCAUAUGGAAAACUUGUUGUUAUCUAUUCCUAAGCAAUAUAUCAUAACUCUUAAGUAACAACUCAAAAUUCUGAUCACCGAACCAUGCGAUCGAAAUCCAUCUUCGCGAUCAAAAUCAACAUAUACUUCCUUUAAGUUUCUUCACCUUUUCUUUGAUUCUUAUAACAUCAACAUGUGAUCUCGUCACAUUAUGAAAUAAGAAUAUCAGAAUAGAAACUUAAUAGAGUUAGACAAUGGAAUUUACCUGAAGUAGAGUCAAACCUAUUGACUUUACCAUCCUUAAGAUGUUUCAGGUAAAUUUAGCAGCUUCGCAACCAAUGUCUUUCCUUUGGCAACAGAAUCAUAUGGACUCUUUGGAAACGGUACAUGGGACUAUCACAGACUUAACCUUUCUCUUUACCAUUUGGUCAACCGAGUUGACUAUGGCCGAUCCCUUUCCAUUGGGAAGAGAAAGUUUUUCCUGGACCUCCAAUGUCACCAUUUUCAAUGUCCAAAUAGGUUUGGAAAGUAGAUCUUCCAAUCCAAUUUGCUUUACUAAUGCUCCAAAUCAUUGCUGAUUUAGCAUCAUCAAGCAAAUAGGUAAGAUCAUUAAGGGUCUUGUCGCGACCUGUCAUCAGGGAGUGACUGAAGAACCAAGUCAGCAGCCAGCUACCUCGAGACUUCGACACCCGACUCUCCCGACUUGUCAAUAUGUGGCUUAAUCCCCAAGAUCUAAGCACAUAUAGACUUUGCUUGCCAAUAGGGAUUGAGUGACUUAGAACUUAUCAAGUCUUAAAACUUGUGGGAUAGGGAGAUUUAUUGGAGGAGGUGGAUGAAGUGAAGUAUGAUUUCUAGUCCCACAAAUGCCCAACAAAGGGAUUGAUCUUUCACCUUGAUUGCCAUUUGGGAUAUCAUCUUCAUUAGGAAGCUUGUUCCUAAAGAUUUGGGAAGACCAUAGCUGUCUAAACUAGACAUCUAUAAUGGGAGAAAUUCAAGUUAGUUGAUUUAAAGUCCUUAAUAUAACACCCAAUAUGAAAUAUUAAGGCUAGGACCCAACAACCUAUUUAUAACUGGAAGAGGGAUGCCGUAAUCCAAAUUAUAAAAUAGUUGAAGGUAGGUAAAUGACGAUUUACCAAUUUCCACCAUGAAAACGAAAUAUUUUAUUAUUAGGUUUUAUUGGUUUUGAAACUCCUAGAUCUUUUGAGAUACAUUGAACUUUUCAAUGGCAUGUUUGAAUCUCGAUUGUGCCCUCUCAAAUUUGUGACUGGGAUGCCGAGGAUCACAAACAAGGUGUGAAUAACCAUACAAAUUGACUUGGUACCCUUAACAAUAUUACCUAAUCGAUGUGCCGGUUAACCACACACGCUCCACCGAUCUAUAAUAAAGUCAAGUUACCCUUUGCCACUCUUACUAGUCCAUGUUAGUGUGCCGGUUAACCACACACGCUCCACUAACGACUUGGUAAGGUACAAAGUGUAAUUUUAUGGGCUAGCACCUUUUCACAUUUUCCUAAGUAACUAAGAUUGGGAAUUUAUAAGUGUUUAGUUACUUAGUAUUUUUCAUUAUACUUUUAAUGAAGGGAGAAUUAUAGUCCAUUCCUACCCGUUCGGCUAACGACCCUCCACCAGUCAAGGAAGCGGUGGGUGAGAGUGGACACCCAUUAAACUGCCAUUUUAUAGGCAGUAACCUUAUACCCCCCUUAUAGACCGGCUUCGUGAAUGAGGCCUACUAACGGUAAGAUUGACUUCCUCUUAUACAUAUCUAUAUAAUUAAAAUUAUAAUAAUAGUAUAAGGGUUGAAUUUUAAACUUUUUAAAAUUUCAAUGUUCAAUUUGGAAUUAAAGUAUACAUGAGGAGUAACUUUUCAAAUUCCAAAACUUGAGGGCAAGUUUUGAAACUAUUUCAAGACUCUUUAAAUCAUAACUUAUGAGUUUAAUGGUUCAUUAAAAUGAAGACUCUUCAUUUUAAUGUAACCCCUUAUUCUUUAAAAACACUUUAAAGAAGUGUCUCUUCAACAUCCAUAACUUGAGGACAAGUUAUGGAGUCAUUAAACUAUUUAAUGGAAAAAACUCUUACAUUUUAUGUAACCUACAAAACUUUUAUGAGUUUUUAAGAUUCAUAAAUAUGACUUUUCACAUAACUUGAAGACAAGUUACAAAAACAUAUUUUAUGAACUUCUUUUAGACUAAUAUGGAUUGAAAACAACUAAAACAUAAUUUUUUCAUUAUCAAUCUAAACUAACUCAUAAAUCAAGGAAACAUAAAAUUCUUGAAAAUUCAUAACUUGAGGACAAGUUAUGAACUCCAUACAAUUUUCAACAAGAUCAUGAAUUAUAUCAACAAACAAUUUGCACACAAUUCCUAUGAUCUAGCAAAACUCAUAAGCAUGAUCAUUCAUAAUCAACAAUUUUCAAGAAUAACAUGAACACAUAUAAACUUGAAACUUUUAUUAUAGCAUUGAAAUUGGUUUAACAUAAUCAUUACCACAUUCAAAACAAGUUUUAUAAGCCCAAAACAGUCAAAGGUAAUGAUUCUAGACCAAUUCCAGCACCAAAACUCGAAAAUAUGCUGUCUGGGGGUCCAACUCGUCGAGUGCAUGAACAAACUCGGCGAGUUGGAUGCAUUUUGCCUUGGACUCGUCGAGUCCCUUCAUGGACUCGGCGAGUCUGCUGGGCAGACAGCACCAAAAGUCGAUUUUUAAGCAGUUUAAGCAAGUACAACAAGAAAACAAGCCUAGGCUCUGAUACCACUGUUGGGUUUUGAGCAAUCUAACACUCCUAAGUGUACAUGCAACCCUAAAUACCUUGGAUCUAUGUUUUCUCUAUUAUACAUGCAAAUAUCAACUUUCCAAGGUAUUGUUCUAUUCUAGCAUACAAAACUUUGAAUAACACAAGUUAGAAUAACAUACCUUUUGUUGGUGCUUGUCUUCAUGAAGCUUGAGUGCCUAGUGCCCCAAGUGUGACACCUCAAAUGGUUCACACAACACCAUAAGCACUUGGAAUAACUUAGAGAGAAAUUAGAACACUUCAAGAAUCGGCUUGCCCUCCAUGCAUAUCUAGUGGCCGAUUUCUCACAUCAAUACGAUGCUUAUAUAGUUGUUACAAUUAGGGUAAACCCUAAUUGUCAUGGCUUUCAUUUCCUUGGAUCCAUGGGUUCAAAUACACCAUGGAGCAUCCUAUGGUUUUUAGCCCAACUUGAUAAUCCAUGGAGCAUUAGCCCACUAUAUAAGUAUGGAUGAUUUACACAAUCAACCCAUAUACUUAAUUAGUCUUCUUUUGAUCACAUAAUUAAUUCUAAAUCAAUUAUUGAUCAAUACUAAUUAAAUAAUCUUAUUAAUAUAUUAGAACUUAUAAUAAAUUAAUAAACCUUAAGUGUUAUUUCUCUCAUUUUAGUCUAUCCAAGUGCAUGAUGCCAUGCAACCCAAAUGGACCAUGUCGGGUCG